rnacentral:rRNA from 1 species
UACGAAGGGGGGCUAGCGUUGCUCGGAAUCACUGGGCGUAAAGCGCACGUAGGCGGCUUCUUAAGUCAGGGGUGAAAUCCUGGAGCUCAACUCCAGAACUGCCUUUGAUACUGAGGAGCUUGAGUCCGGGAGAGGUGAGUGGAACUGCGAGUGUAGAGGUGAAAUUCGUAGAUAUUCGCAAGAACACCAGUGGCGAAGGCGGCUCACUGGCCCGGUACUGACGCUGAGGUGCGAAAGCGUGGGGAGCAACAGG